GAUGAACGCUGUCUACAGGCUUAACACAUGCAAGUCGAGGGGAAACGACGGGGAAGCUUGCUUCCCCGGGCGUCGACCGGCGCACGGGUGAGUAACGCGUAUCCAACCUGCCUCUGACUGAGGGAUAACCCGUCGAAAGUCGGCCUAAUACCUCAUGGCAUCGUCUGCGGGCAUCCAACGACGAUUAAAGAUUUCAUCGGUCAGGGACGUGGAUGCGUCUGAUUAGCUUGCUGGCGGGGGAACGGCCCACCAAGGCUACGAUCAGUAGGUGUUCUGAGAGGAAGGUCCCCCACAUGGGAGCUGGGACACGGUCCAAACUCCUACGGGAGGCAGCAGUGAGGAAUAUUGGUCAAUGGGCGGGAGCCUGAGCCAGCCAAGUAGCGUGCAGGAUAACAGCCCUAUGGGUUGUAAACUGCUUUUAUGCGGGGAUAAAGUGAGGGACGUGUCCGUCAUUGCAGGUACCGCAUGAAUAAGGACCGGCUAAUUCCGUG
rnacentral:rRNA from 1 species